GAUGAACGCUGGCGGCGUGCCUAAUACAUGCAAGUCGAGCGAACGGACGAGAAGCUUGCUUCUCUGAUGUUAGCGGCGGACGGGUGAGUAACACGUGGAUAACCUACCUAUAAGACUGGUAUAACUUCGGGAAACCGGAGCUAAUACCGGAUGAUAUUUUGAACCGCAUGGUUCAAAAGUGAAAGACGGUCUUGCUGUCACUUAUAGAUGGAUCCGCGCUGCAUUAGCUAGUUGGUAAGGUAACGGCUUACCAAGGCAACGAUGCAUAGCCGACCUGAGAGGGUGAUCGGCCACACUGGAACUGAGACACGGUCAAGACUACUACGGGAGGCAGCAGUAGGGAAUCGUCCGCAAUGGGCGAAAGCAUGACGGAGCAAAGCCGCGUGAGUGAUGAAGGUCUUCGGAUCGUAAAACUCUGUUAUUAGGGAAGAACAUAUGUGUAAGUAACUGUGCACAUCUUGACGGUAACUAAUCAGAAAGCAACGGCUAACUACGUG
rnacentral:rRNA from 1 species